GAUGAACGCUGGCGGCGUGCUUAACACAUGCAAGUCGAACGGGGUUACCAUUUUUGAAGCGAUUAGCUUGCUAAGAGUGGAAAUGUUGGUAACCUAGUGGCGGACGGGUGAGUAACGCGUGGGUAACCUGCCAUAUACAGGGGGAUAACACUUAGAAAUAGGUGCUAAUACCGCAUAAGCGCACAGAGCUGCAUGGCUCAGUGUGAAAAACUCCGGUGGUAUAUGAUGGACCCGCGUCUGAUUAGCUUGUUGGCGGGGUAACGGCCCACCAAGGCGACGAUCAGUAGCCGGCCUGAGAGGGUGGACGGCCACAUUGGGACUGAGACACGGCCCAA
rnacentral:rRNA from 1 species